rnacentral:lncRNA from 1 species
AUCCUUCCCUCCUUGAAAGGAUUCUUUCCCCAGAAUCACAACUCAAAAAAUUUAUUCAUGACAUUAGAGGUUGUACGAAGUCAGGAAGAUGGGACCAUGCCCUCCGAUCUUCAAGCUUCAAAUUCUAUCUGUUUCCCUACGUAAUAGUCACUCGGGAUUGGACCUCCUUAGUUCUUGUGGGACAUUAUUGUGUAGAAAUGUAUGUAUGAAAUGUUUG